rnacentral:rRNA from 1 species
GUGCUUAACACAUGCAAGUCGAACGGAAAGGCCCUUUCGGGGGUACUCGAGUGGCGAACGGGUGAGUAACACGUGGGUGAUCUGCCCUGCACUUUGGGAUAAGCCUGGGAAACUGGGUCUAAUACCGAAUAUUUCCUUUUGGUCGCAUGGCUGGGAGGGGAAAGCUUUUGCGGUGUGGGAUGGGCCCGCGGCCUAUCAGCUUGUUGGUGAGGUUAUGGCUUACCAAGGCGACGACGGGUAGCCGGCCUGAGAGGGUGACCGGCCACACUGGGACUGAGAUACGGCCCAGACUCCUACGGGAGGCAGCAGUGGGGAAUAUUGCACAAUGGGCGCAAGCCUGAUGCAGUGACGCCGCGUGGGGGAUGACGGCCUUCGGGUUGUAAACCUCUUUCAAUAGGGACGAAGCGCAAGUGACGGUACCUAUAGAAGAAGGACCGGCCAACUACGUGCCAGCAGCCGCGGUAAUACGUAGGGUCCGAGCGUUGUCCGGAAUUACUGGGCGUAAAGAGCUCGUAGGUGGUGUGUCGCGUUGUUCGUGAAAUC